rnacentral:tRNA from 1 species
GGAUAGCUCAGUUGGUAGAGCAUGAGACUCUUAAUCUCAGUGCUGUGUGUUCGAGCCCCAUGUUGGGCA